rnacentral:miRNA from 1 species
AUAUAUAUAUAUGUGUAUGUGUAUGUGUAUAUGUAUAUGUAUAUAUACAUACACACACACACACACACAC